CAAGUAAUGAUCCAGUCCUCUCCAUCUGUUCUUCUUCUAUUCUAAGUGAAAGGGUCGACCGCCGGACGACUCCCUGCCCCGCCAGGCGCCAGCCAGCCGGAGCUGGAAGCGCCUCCCCGGACUGCGGCCGUCGACCCCAGGCACAUCACCGUGCGGCUCCUCCUCCCCGGAUCUCCAAUGCACGCCAAACCCGCAGCAGAGCGCCGCCGCCGCCGCCGCCGGCCAGAUCCUCCUCCUAGCCACCGUCCCAGACCUGCAGCUGCCUCCCCCUGACCUGCACGUGCAUCUCGCCGGCAUCCUCCUCCAGCGGUAUGCAGCCAUCCCUCCUCUUUUCUGUGCCUUAUGGUUGCUUGGCUGCUUACGGUGGAAAUGCUUAUGGUGGAUUGCUGCGGGGUGUCGUCAUUGCUUAUGCUAGAAUUGCUGUGGGCUGUUGUCAUUGCUUAUGGUGGAAAUGCAAUUUGGAGGUUGGCGAUUAGUCUUGCAUGAUUCCAAACUCCAUGAUUGCUUACUACUAGUACUAGUAAUUAUGUAGUGUGAUGUGAUGGGCCCUUGUCUUGGUUGAUGGAUUGUAGAGUUGGAACACCUCUUCCAUGUUAAAAUUUGAUUUGGCAACAGCGCAAUGCUUUUUGUAAUUAUUAGCGUGAUAUGGUUGGUCCUUGUGUUGGUUCAACAAUUUUGUUUUUGUUUUUUGAUGUUGAAGGUUGAUUGUGCAGGGCUAUGCACAUUGCACAGUGUGUUGCUUGAUUGUUAUCCAAGAACUUUGCACUGCAGGCAACUUCAUGAGUUCUGUAACUGAAAUGGAACAGAUGAAGGAGGGCAAUCUGGGAUGCAUAUCACACGAAGAUCUUUUGCGAAAUACGCAAAGAUGAAACGGCUGCUGGCAAUAGCUAGUCUGGGUGCGUGCUGGAGUGCCGAAGGUUACAAGAACCCUGAGCCCAAAUUCUACAAUAGGGCUGGGACGAGGUAUGUGAAGAAGCGGUUCAAGCAUAGAUGGGACUCAUUAAAGCAGCAGUACAGAGGGUGGAUGGAACCCAAAUCUUUGACGGUUAUUGGGUCGGAUCCUGGAAGAGGAAUCACUGGGCCGAUGAUGGUUGGUGGAAGAAUCACAUUGCAAGAACCCCAGAGCAUGUGAAGUUCCACAUGGGCCACGGCCAACUUGACUUUGUUGCAUGCUCUGUUCAGGACAGCAAAUGUCACCAAUGAAUCAUCCAUUGUCCCUGGAGAGGACUUAGGAAGACAAUGGAGGAUGAUACUCCAACCAGUAUUACCAACGGGUCAGACGACGAUGUGCUUGCGGCAUUUGCUGAAGCAUCUUCUUGCAACAAGGCUCCUCCUGCCACGGUUCCGAGCCCGAAGGAAGACUUGAUUACAUGAUGACACCAGCAUGUGUGUGCAACUUUGCUCUAGAAAUUGAUUGUCAUAUCUUUGUUCUGGUCCUGAAUAUUUGAAUGAACGGGUGUUGUCAAGAAUCACGUGCACAUUUGUCCAAUGUCAUACAAAUGCAUUAAUUUAA